rnacentral:rRNA from 1 species
CGGGAGGCAGCAGUGGGGAAUAUUGCACAAUGGGCGGAAGCCUGAUGCAGCAACGCCGCGUGCGGGAUGACGGCCUUCGGGUUGUAAACCGCUUUCGCCUGUGACGAAGCGUGAGUGACGGUAAUGGGUAAAGAAGCACCGGCUAACUACGUGCCAGCAGCCGCGGUGAUACGUAGGGUGCGAGCGUUGUCUGGAUUUAUUGGGCGUAAAGGGCUCGUAGGUGGUUGAUCGCGUCGGAAGUGUAAUCUUGGGGCUUAACCCUGAGCGUGCUUUCGAUACGGGUUGACUUGAGGAAGGUAGGGGAGAAUGGAAUUCCUGGUGGAGCGGUGGAAUGCGCAGAUAUCAGGAGGAACACCAGUGGCGAAGGCGGUUCUCUGGGCCUUUCCUGACGCUGAGGAGCGAAAGCGUGGGGAGCGAACAGGCUUAGAUACCCUGGUAGUCCACGCUGUAAACGGUGGGUACUAGGUGUGGGGUCCAUUCCACGGGUUCCGUGCCGUAGCUAACGCGAUAAGACACC